CCAAUGCCCUUCGGGGCUUUUUGGUGAUUCAUGAUAACUUUACGGAUCGCAUAGCCUUGCGCUGGCGACGGUUCAUUCAAAUUUCUGCCCUAUCAACUUUCGAUGGUAAGGUAUUGGCUUACCAUGGUUUCAACGGGUAACGGGGAAUUAGGGUUCGAUUCCGGAGAGGGAGCCUGAGAAACGGCUACCACAUCCAAGGAAGGCAGCAGGCGCGCAAAUUACCCAAUCCCGACACGGGGAGGUAGUGACAAUAAAUACUGAUACAGGGCUCUUUUGGGUCUUGUAAUUGGAAUGAGUACAAUUUAAACCUCUUAACGAGGAACAAUUGGAGGGCAAGUCUGGUGCCAGCAGCCGCGGUAAUUCCAGCUCCAAUAGCGUAUAUUAAAGUUGUUGCAGUUAAAAAGCUCGUAGUUGAAACUUGGGUCUGGCUGGCGGGUCCGCCUCACCGCGUGCACUCGUCCGGCCGGGCCUUCCUUCUGAAGAACCUCAUGCCCUUUACUGGGCGUGUUGGGGAAUCAGGACUUUUACUUUGAAAAAAUUAGAGUGUUCAAAGCAGGCCUUUGCUCGAAUACGUUAGCAUGGAAUAAUAAAAUAGGGCGUGCGUUUCUAUUUUGUUGGUUUCUAGAGACGCCGCAAUGAUUAACAGGAACAGUCGGGGGCAUCAGUAUUCAGUUGUCAGAGGUGAAAUUCUUGGAUUUACUGAAGACUAACUACUGCGAAAGCAUUUGCCAAGGAUGUUUUCAUUAAUCAGUGAACGAAAGUUAGGGGAUCGAAGACGAUCAGAUACCGUCGUAGUCUUAACCGUAAACUAUGCCGACUAGGGAUCGGGCGAUGUUCUUUUUCUGACUCGCUCGGCACCUUACGAGAAAUCAAAGU
rnacentral:rRNA from 1 species